rnacentral:piRNA from 1 species
UAGGACUGCUGUCUCCCAGAUGUUAAG